CGUCACGUGAUGUUUGGAGCUGCUUCCGGGUCGAUGCGGGACGCGGCGGCCGGGCCUGGAAGUCCAAGAAGGGAGCAUGGACCAGCCCAGUGGAAGGAGUUUCAUGCAAGUUCUUUGUGAGAAAUACAGCCCUGAGAACUUCCCCUAUCGCCGUGGGCCUGGCAUGGGGGUGCACGUCCCUGCAACUCCCCAGGGCUCACCCAUGAAAGACCGCCUGAACCUGCCGAGUGUGCUGGUGCUCAACAGCUGUGGCAUCACCUGUGCCGGGGAUGAGAACGAGAUCGCCGCYUUCUGCGCCCACGUCUUUGAGCUCGACCUCUCUGACAACAAACUGGAAGACUGGCACGAGGUCAGUAAAAUUGUGUCCAACGUCCCCCACUUGGAGUUUCUAAACCUGAGUUCCAACCCUCUCAGUUUGUCCGUUUUAGAGAGAAGUUGCGCUGGGUCUUUCGCUGGCGUCCGCAAACUUGUGCUCAACAACAGCAAAGCUUCCUGGGAAACAGUGCACACCAUCCUGCAGGAAUUACCAGACUUGGAGGAGCUCUUCCUGUGCCUUAAUGACUACGAAACAGUGUCUUGUUCUCCAGUUUGCUGUCAGUCUCUCAAGCUACUCCACAUAACUGACAAUAAUCUUCAAGACUGGACUGAAAUUCGAAAAUUGGGAAUUAUGUUUCCAUCACUGGACACACUUAUCCUGGCUAACAACAACCUCACCACUAUUGAAGAGUCAGAAGAUUCCCUAGCAAGGCUCUUCCCCAAUUUAAGAUCCAUCAACUUGCACAAGUCAGGUCUGCAUUGCUGGGAAGACAUUGACAAGUUAAAUUCUUUCCCCAAGCUCGAGGAAGUGAAAUUGCUGGGAAUUCCUCUGCUGCAGUCCUACACCACYGAGGAGCGCAGGAAGCUGCUAAUAGCCAGGUUGCCCUCCAUCACCAAACUCAACGGCAGCAUCGUGGCCGACGGGGAGCGCGAGGACUCGGAGCGYUUCUUCAUCCGCUACUACAUGGAGUACCCGGAGGAGGAGGUCCCUUUCAGGUAYCACGAGCUGGUCACCAAGUACGGGAAGCUGGAGCCCUUGGCAGUGGUGGACCUGCGGCCSCAGAGCAGCGUCAAGGUGGAGGUGCACUUCCAGGACAAGGUGGAGGAGAUGUCCAUCCGCCUCGAUCAGACUGUGGCAGAGCUGAAGAAGCACUUAAAAACUGUGGUGCAGCUGUCAACCAGCAACAUGCUGCUCUUCUACUUGGACCAGGAGGCUCCUUUUGGUCCCGAGGAGAUGAAAUACAGCUCGCGGGCRCUGCAUUCCUACGGCAUCCGGGAUGGAGAUAAAAUUUACGUGGAGCCCCGAAUGAAAUAGCCUUUUUGCCCACACCCACACGCCCCCACACACCCACACACAUGCAUUGAGGAGUUUUUGCAAGGUUUUUAUUUCGGUUGGUUGGUUGAGGUUUGGUUGUGUUUCUGUAGCAGGUAAUUUCUUAGCCCGGAGGAAGUGCCCUGAUCUGAGAACCAUGCCCACCAUCCGCUGCAGGUGACCUUGAGGUGACAAUUGACUUCAGGACGUGUGUUUCAGUGUGGGCAAUACCUUGAUGUUUCCUUUGAUGCUCCGGUAUACUCGUGAUUUGGCAUGAAUGGUCAGUUGUUCAAGCUAAACAAUGCCAGGGUCCAUAAGGGAGGAGACAGCUCGGUGCAGAAUUUGACCUGUUGUUUUCUUUUCCAAAAUUUUUUGGUGUUUUGCUCCACCAGAGCUCCCUUUGGCCUAGCUAUCUGACUGUGGCUCGAUCUUGCUGUAGUAUUUUCUUGCAGCUUGGUGCUGUCUCAACCUUUUGUUGUGCUCGAGUUCACAGAGAAGAUCUCCAUCAGUAUUUCUGCUUGAUUCAGAGCUCAGGUACUUUAGUGCAUCCACUUCACUCUACUGGCUKGGUUUCUGUGAGUGCACAGAAUGGGGGAAAGAAAAACAACUUCAGAGAAAGAAACUUUCUUUUCAAAACUCACGCUCUAUAUCCACCUGAUUUGGGGGGGAAAAGAGAGGUUUUGAUUGCUGUACUUAUCUGAUGCAGCAUCUGUAGCCUGUGGGGAUAAAGGGURUGUAGAAAAGUGAAUUUUGGGAUGUGGUGGAUGAGCGCUGUGUUGGAAGGGCUUUCAGAGCAGCAGGUCAACAAGGGGUUGAAGAGCAGCUUCCCCCGUUGGCCGUGGUCCAUCCUGAUGUUGAAGAGAUCCUCCAUGCACUUCACCUUGUACCAGUGGGUACUGCAAGUGGAAUGGCUAAAAUUCCUCUCCUGGGAGAGAGGAAGAGUCAAGUUGAAGUUUGUGUUUGUUGCUGUUGCACCAGUUCAAACCUAGCACUUUUSCCCGGGGCCCCUGGCCGGGGGUCCCUGCGCAGGGUCCGAACUCGCAGGGAGGAUGUGUUGGCUCGGAUCAGCCUCUGGAAGUUGAGGAACAAAGCAGCUGGACUCACGUCGGGUGUUCAGCAGGUUUUCACUCUUUCUCUUGGCUUCCCCCACGCGCCCCUCGUAGGCAUCGCGUGCUGCUGCUUCACGUAGUCCCUGUUUUCUUCUGCAGAGCAGAUCCCUUUUGCUGGGCAGUGAAAUCCUCCUUCCUUUCUCUCUCUUGUUUCGCUUUCCUGUGUCCUCCCUGCUCCAAGUUCGAGACUUUCCCUAUUUCCUAGGUACAAGCAGCUGCACAGAAUUUUUUGGAGCCGUGCAGCGAGGGCUCUAGUUACAUGUGAACUCCUGACCUUCAUUUUGAAAUGCUCCCUUUAUCCCCACGUGCACUUUCUUUCCCAGGAUGCUUUUGCCCACAUCACCGAGCUCCUUUGGUAUUCUUGGAGUUGUGUAUUUCUCUUCACRUUUUACCUGGCUUGUGGGGUGGGGUAAAUGGGGAGGGGAUAAAAUAUUGUUAUCUCAUAGUCUUCAGGUUUAGGAUAUGGGGAUUGUUCAGAGGGGAUAGUUCCUUAUCCAAAGUAAGGGUUAAAAUGGGAGGAUUUUAAACAAUUUAUUAAUUUGUGCCUCGUCCCCCUGCCAAAAAUAUCAAUCUCUUGGCCCCGUUGAGAUGARCAAUAGGGAAGGGAGCAAGAUUUUCCAUAGGUAGCAUAGAUUUUCCAUAGAUCCAUGGUACCUGAAAACUAAAUAGCAGGGAGAUAGCGGCAGUGUAACAUAAAAUGAUGCUUUUAUAAGCUAGAGCUUUACUGAAGAUGUAUUUUCCAUUUGGGCAGCGAAAAUAAUUUACUGCCUGAUAGCAGAACCUUUAAGCCAACUCUUCUGUAUGAUAUAUACAUACCUACCRAUAGGAGAAGUUGUGGUUAAUAAGAUAUUUUGUUAUAAAGCAAAGUUUUAUGAAGAUAUGGUUGUUUAAUAUUAGAAGCCUAUUUCAGCCCUUGACCUCCAGUGUAAGUAGGUUAUCCCUGAGUGGCUGCAGAGUCCGAGGCAAGCGACCUAUGGGGAUCCAAAAGUAUCUCUGACCUAAUUCUCCAGAGCAGUAAUUGCCUCUGUGGGUGUAUUUAUGGCAUUGUACCUGCUAUUAAUGAGAUGCUAUAACUCUUGACCAACUUCCUCAGCACAAUUAAGUGUCUGGGUCUCAGAGAAGGGAAUAAACAAAGGCYGUUAAAGAGUUGAAUGGGAUGAUAAAGAAGAGUCAAGUAUGUGCUUUUAAGUUUGUGUGCCCACUAAAAAUUGGGCUGCUCCUGGAGGGAUCGGUGCUGUCACCGGCUCAGAACUGUCAGUAAAUCCUGAUUUUAUUUGUGGUGGGAACUGGAAGAUGGAAAAAGAGAGCACGGAAGGUUGACAAGUGCUGGGGAUUUGGUGCUGACACCCAAACUUGCUCCCCUGCUCUGUUCAGGUCAGGAUACGAAAUCAGCGCCUUGCCACUUCUUCAGGGGAAGGUUUUUCUCAAGGCAUUCACCUUGUGUGCAGAUAGGGGAGCACUCGUGGGGUAGAAACCAAAAAUCUUGGUUGGCUUCCCAAGAAGGACUCRCUCCCAAAACCCAGAGAGAGUUUGUGUGUCCACAUGAUCAGCUGUGGAAAGUGGGACCAAAUGGCACACAGUGACAUGGCAAAAGUCCCCAAAUCACAUUCCCUUUGUGAUACUUCAUGGGGAAAGGCUCUUGUGUUUGUGCCACCCAAGAGGGGACCAUGUCCUGGGGAACGAGGAGACGGCUCUGAGUGGGAGAGGAGGUUUGAGUGCUGAGUGAGGCUCCAGACGUGGCAGCAGGUUUGAUUUAAAACCAGCAGGGGCUGUGUCCAGGCAUUGCACCCGUGUACCCGCUCCAGCUAAAGCUCCCUGGGUCUGUCACAUCCCCUUGAGAAAACAAAACAGAUUUGCAAGCUUCCCUGGCUUCUGUGUCCUUCUAUCCGAGGGCUACUUUUGUCAAGAGCUGUUGUGUUGUUCUUGCUCGUUCAUGCAUACAAGUCCACCAUGGGCAGCCUGCACAGCGGGCAGAGCACCUGCCCCCCGAGGACUUCGGUGACAGCUACAUACCAAAGUGUCACACGGCUCCGUGUGCUCAGUUAGACGCUGUGCUCUUGUGUUUUUGGAUACGUUCCUGUUGAAUAUCCACGUUUUUUGGCCAGAUGUUUGGGGCGGAUCGCGUAGCGGGCGGGGUUGUGAAURUGCACGGGGUGCUGGCUGUCCUCUGCUCCCUGCCUGGGUUUGGAAGGCCGUUUUUUGGCAGCUGCAGGUGUGACCCAUGGUGGCUCGGAGGAGCUGCUGCUGGGGAGAGGCUGUCCCUGUGCCUCCUCGGGUCUGGAAUCUGACRGAGGCGCCGCGGCGGCUCUGCCUCCUCGCUCGUCAGUGCGAUUCUGKAGGUUCUGUUGGUGUGCAAGAUUUGAGAAUGCAAACGAGGUGCUGGAAGCAGCCCAGAGGCUAAAAUAUGUAUUCCAGGCAGCUGUGCCUCCCUCGUUUGGAUGUGGCACUUUUGUAGGCAGCAGAGAGACGCCUUCCCCAGAGCAACGUUAGAGGGGCUUCAGCCAUCUCGGGCCUUUGCCUCUGUGAUUGCUUUUCUGCAGUUACUGGAAACAUCAAAUAUAAUUUAAACAUGAAGAUCUAUCCUUGCUCCCUAUUAAUGUUACAUCCAUAUGUAAUUUCAAAGAAGAACRACUGUAAGUCCAUCUGGUUUUUUAUUCUGGUUUCUCUCACAGGGGAUACACCUCCCGCUCCCACAAUUUGCCUUUGGUUUGCUCGCAGACUUAGCGGUGGAAUUCAGGCCAAAAUAGGUCAUUGGUUUGGAUCAGUUCAAUAAACUUAUGUGCGGGUGAAAAGUGCUGGGAUGUUUUUGUCCUGCUGAUGGUUGUGGUGUCUGUCCCAUGAGCUCAGGCACAGCCACCUCACCUGUGCAAGGUGCCACCCGUCGAAGGGAGAAGUCACAGAGCUGGAUGAGCUCUUCCUCCUCUUCUGCACUGCAUUUCUCCAUGACUGGGGCUCAUCCCCACUCCCAGGUCAGGCAUGAGAGGAAGAUUUCUGCCAGAAGAAUUAAAAAAAGAAGAAGUGUUUGGUUGUUCAGCUCCGAUGUGUUCAGCACUGCAUGAUGGGAACAUCCCCUGCCAAAAGAAAAUAGGUUGGAAGACAAAGUCUUCCCCAAAGAGACAGUGAAACCUAAUCAAACUUCAUCAGUGUACACUUGCCCAGGACAAACAGGACCAGAAUAUUAAACUGACAAAGGAGCAGAGGGAAACCUAUUUUCCCCAGUUUUUUCUGUGUUACAAAACAGAAUGAGGCGAGUCAAUUGAUUUUCCUGGAGCUGGUAGUGUUUAAAAUGUAUGGGAGGGGAGGGAAGAACCAGGGUGCAGGCUGGAAGUAAUCUGCCCCUGGAAUAUCAGUCAGUGCUGAUAUCCCCCUGCCCUCCCGAAAUAGCUGUUGGUUUAGAAGAGGGUAAAAAUAAAUUUGAAAAUGAAAGAUUCCUGCUAGCAAGGCCAUGCUUGGAGGAUGGAGGGAAAGCAGAUUCUGGGAUCAGCUGUGGAGGCAGUGAGCUGCCUGGUGCCCUGAUGUGCAUAAAGAGACUGCUGAGGUAAGAAACAGCAUUUUUUGGGGGAAAUUUACUGAAUAACACUGCCAGGAGCACCCAGGGGAGAAAGUCUGGGCUUCCUGUUGGGCUGCUGGCAUUUCUGUCUCCUCUCUGUUCCUGACACAGGGUGGGGAGCACAAGAGGAAUGGCGACCUCCCAGCAGGGAAAACGGGCAGUAAAACCUCCCACCCAAAAUGUCAGAAGGGUAAAUCAUGCCAAAGUCAGGCUGUUUUCCCACUGCUGGCGUUGGAGCAGUGCCUGUCUGACCUGAGCCUUGCUGCAGGCUGGGAAAAUCAGCUCUAACGUGGCUCUGCUGCUGGAGCCUUCACUCCUUGGCUGCUAUUCCCACUCUCCCUCUCUUCUCCAACAGGGAUAUGAACCGACUCACAGCAGCUGAAAUAUUUUUUCGGGUACAGAYUGGGCUCAAAUGAAGGGUUUUGGUCAGGCCACACUUUUACCCUUCAAGUUAGUGAUGUAUCUGUCAGCCCAGAUGCCAGAGGCAGGGAAAAUCCCUGUGGAAACUGCAAUUGUACGAGUGAAAAUGAUAAUAACGCUCACAUCAGUCCCCCAGUGAAACUUCCCACCACCACCAGUCCUUCCAGAGAAGGUGGAAAUGGGAACAGCAAGGAAAYCCUCUCCAGCAGAUUGGGAGUGAGCUGGACUUAGGUGAGUUUUGCCUUUUCCACCUGUAAAAGCAAGACUUGGAUGGCAAAGCAGCUCCAUUGAAACUUCAGGGCAGCGCCUUUGAACGGCGCUUUAAGCCUAGCACU